GAUGUUGCACUCCAUAUGUUUUAUGAAAAUAUGCUUGGAAUGUGGAUAUUAUGGAAUAUUCUUUAUGCAAAAGGUCCUUUGUAAGGUUUCAUUACAAAGCUUAUAAUCUACUAAGUGUGUUCAUCCUAUUUGUAUGUAUAUAUCAUUCUUGUAUCUAAAACUAGAAAUAUGAACAAAAAGAAAAAGGAGGACUUGUGGCAUCUUAGAGACU